GAUGGCUGAUAUUACAAGAUAGCAACAAAACUACCAACAAAAAAGUUGAUUAAGUCACUUUAACCAACAAAAAUAAAUGAAAAAGCAUUGUUCAAGUAGCAUUAUUGAUGGCAUUGUAAAUUUUUUUUUCUAUAAAAAAUGUAAGUUUUUUAUUGGUAACAUAUGUAGUGGAAUCAAUAUGGUUGUGUCUAUAAUAAUUUGACAUUU
rnacentral:lncRNA from 1 species